CACAACGAGACGGGUACAUAUAGCCUUGCCCGUCCGUCCGUCCGUCUAGAUUAACGGAAACUCCUCCUACACCUAGUCCUCCUUUAAAUCAUUAAAAAAAUUGGCAACGAUCAGAAAAAUGAAACAUCUCGUGUAAUGUGUGAAUCAAAUAGAAGCGUGCGAAAUAAGAGUCCUGUACAACACUAUAACAGCUAAACUUUGCCACCCACGGCUCGCACAGGGAGAAUACAUGACGAUACAUAUAACACCAGAAGAAAACUUUUCCUAUGUCAGCUUUGAAAGCAAUGUGGCACUAAAUAAUUAUCGGAUGUUAAUAAAUCAAGUUGUCCAAACAUUUAAGCCGGGGAUGUUCAUAGUAACCAUAUUUGCAAAUAAGUCUUCGUUGGCGUACGAAACCAUGAAGGGAUUGGAAAUCGAAUACUCGACGCAGUCACAUUGGAAACAAACCGAUAUGCAGUGCUGUAAUUUUCCGUCUUAUAACCUUUUAUUCGCACAAUAUUUGUAUCGUAAUAAAAACACAAUGUAAUAUGAUUAA